GAUGAACGCUGGCGGCAGGCCUAACACAUGCACGUCGAACGAGUGGCGGACGGAUGAGUAAUGUCUGGGAACCUGCCUGAUGGAGGGGGAUAACUACUGGAAACGGUAGCUAAUACCGCAUACCAUCGGAUGUGCCCAGAUGGGAUUGGCUAGUAGGUGGGGUAACGGCUCACCUAGGCGACGAUCCCUAGCUGGUCUGAGAGGCUGACCAGCAACACUGGAACUGAGACACGGUCCAGACUACUACGUGAGGCAGCAGUGGGGAAUAUUGCACAAGGGGCGCAAGCCUGAUGAAGCCAUGCCGCGGGUAUGAAGAAGGCCUUCGGGUUGUAAAGUACUUUCAGCGGGGAGGCGUGACCCGCAGAAGAAGCACCGGCUAACUCCGUGCCAGCAGCCGCGGGAAUUC
rnacentral:rRNA from 1 species